GAUUUAGAAGAGGCUCAGCUUUGCCAGAGGGGAGCAGAGUAGGGCCUGGUCUGUCCUGGCAAGUCUCAGUCACUCCAUCUUCCUGGGAAGCAGCCUCAGGACCACCUCCAAAGGGGGAGGGCUGCAAAUCCUCCACAGAUGAGUGUUGCCUCCGUGACGCCCAAUACAACCAUGUGAAAGGUACUUACACUACAAGCUGCAGAAGGAUUAAGUGUCCUGACUUGCUCAGUGAGGACACAGUCGUAUAACAAAAGACAUGAACUGUUCUGUGUCCAGCUUCUGCAGCUGCUGGCCCCAUCACUCCAGUCUCUGCUCCCAUGGUCACAUCGCCCCCUCCUCUUCGCGUCUCUGUGGACCUUCUAAGGAUGCUCAUCACUGGAUUUAGGGUCUAUGUGGAUAAUCCAGGAUGAUCUCAUCUCAAGAUUCUUAAUUUAAUUACAUCUGCAAAGCCCUCCUUUCCAAAUAAAGUAAUAACCACAGAU